CAAAUAUCUUGUGAGCUGGUGGGAUUCGCUGAGGAAUGAAGAAAAUGAAAAGAGCAUUUCAAAUUUAUCCUUAUUGUACAUAGCUGGGGGGACAUUGAGACUGCUGGAUGAUAUUACCUGGCAUUUUGUGUUACCAUAUAUUGGGGCAUUAAUGCAGGGACAAGAGGGUGAGGCUGCAGCUGAGGAAGCAAAGAAGAGCAAUCACGUCCAGAGGAGAGCAGUUCAAAGCGGAUCCUUUUAACUUGUUACUGAUAUCAUCUUGAGAUCAAUGGCUCUUAUGCUAAGUGAACUUUUACGAGUCAAUAUUUCACCAUCCCAGUUGCAUGAACCGAGGGUGCGGAGACUGGAUGCAGCUAGCUUAGAUUAAGAUGAAAGAAGUGUUGUGAUCGGGUGUUAGGCAGUGGCAAUUGCAACUAUAAUGAAACCAUGGUAUUUAAUUUUUUUUUCAGUCUGUCCAUAAGAUACAUAAGGGCACGCAUAGAUAUAGUAUUCCACUUCAUAUUUCCUUUGUGAUGUUUAGCACUGACAGCAAGGUCUACUCUUUAAUGUUUAGCACUGCUGGCUAGAUCGAGCUUUGUCAAUCUGGUUUAUGCAGAUUUCAGCAAUUAA